rnacentral:rRNA from 1 species
UACGUAGGGUGCAAGCGUUGUCCGGAAUUAUUGGGCGUAAAGAGCUCGUAGGCGGCUUGUCGCGUCGGCUGUGAAAACCUGGGGCUCAACCCCGGGCCUGCAGCCGAUACGGGCAAGCUAGAAUUCGGUAGGGGAGACUGGAAUUCCUGGUGUAGCGGUGAAAUGCGCAGAUAUCAGGAAGAACACCCGUGGCGAAGGCGGCUCACUGGCCCGGUACUGACGCUGAGGUGCGAAAGCGUGGGGAGCAAACAGG